UUCAUAGCUUCAUUUUUGAAUGCACCUUUCUAUUAAGAGAUAUUGAUGCAUGAAAACAACCUAUGUAUUGAGAAACACUUACAAAUUGGACACAUAUCAGAAGAAGAAGAAAUGAUGUAACAAAGGAAAAGAAAUUUUAUUUUUGAAAAAAUUACAGCGGUUUCUCCCCUUUUUUCAAAUUUAUCCUACACACCUUUAGUUUACCACACACUUCACCUUAUUUGACAAUACUCCACUAAAAAAUAAAAAUAACAACUUCAUAACAAAUUUUUCCUAACUCCUUAAUCACGUUUUUUUUCAUUGAUAACCGACUAACAAUACAACACACCCACGAGAACACACAUAUUACAUACACACAUCUACUACCAUAAUGGGGGGAGUGAAGAAAAAUGAGUGAAAAUAGUGAGAGAUCAGGGAAAAAAAGUGAAGGCGAGAGAGAUCAAAAUGCGCAAGAGAAGAAACCAGCGAAGAGAGGAAAAUGAGGAGAGGAGCGGUGGAGAAACAUUUUUUUCUGGCGAGAAUCCACUGCCACCGGAAAUUUGACCCGUUCUAUGAUUCUCAUCACCGCAUGAGCUCAGCGAAGCUCCGUUGAAACAAAGGUGAGAAAGAUCAAAACGCGCGAGAGAAGAAGCUGGCGAAGAGAGGAAAACAAGGAGAGGAGCGUCAGAGAAAUAUAUUUUUCCCAGCGACAAUCCACUGUCAUCAAAAAUUUGAUCCGUUCUCUAAUUCUCAUCACCGCAUGAGCUCAAUGAAACUCUGUCGAAACGAAGGCGAGAGAGAUCAAAACGUGUGAGAGAAGAAGCCGGCAAAGAGAGGAAAACGAGGAGAGGAGCGUUGGAGAAACAUUUUUUUCCUGGUGAGAAUCCAUUGCCACCAGAAAUUUGACCCGUUCUCUAAUUCUCAUCACCCCAUGAGCUCGACAGAGCUCAUCAAAAUGAAGAUGAGAGAGAUCAAAAUGCGCGAGAGAAGAAACCAGCAAAGAAAGGAAAACAAGGAAAGGAGCGGUGGAGAAAUAUUUUUUUUUCGGCGAGAAUCCAUUGCCACCAAAAAUUUGACCCGUUCUCUGAUUCUCAUCACCGCAUGAGCUCGACGGAGCUCAAUUGAAACUAACGCGAGAGAGAUCAAAACGUGCGAGAGAAGAAACCGACGAAGAGAGAAAAAUAAGGAGGGAGCGGCGAAGAAACAUUUUUUUCCGGCGAGAAUUCAGUGCCACCGGAAAUUUGACUCAUUCUCUGAUUCUCAUCACCGCAUGAGAGCGAUGGAGUUCCGUUGAAACGAAGGCGAGAGAGAUCAAAAUGCGCGAGAGAAGAAACCGGCGAAAAGAGGCAAACGAGGAGAGGAGCGGCGGAGAAACAUUUUUUUCGACGAGAAUCCACUACCACUGAAAAUUUAACCCGUUCUGAUGCUCAUCAUCGUAUGAGCUCGACGGAGCUCUGUCGAAAUGAAGGCGAGAGAGAUCAAAACGCGCGAGAGAAAAAACCGACGAAGAGAGGAAAACGAGGAGAGGAGCGGCGGAGAAAUAUUUUUUUCCCGACGAGAAUCUACUGCCACUGAAAAUUUGACCCGUUCUCUGAUUCUCAUCACUUCAUGAGCUCGAUGGAGCUCCAUCGAAAUGAAGGAGAGGGAGAUCAAAACACGCGAGAGAAGAAAUCAGCGAAGAGAGGAAAAUGAGGAGAGGAACGACGGAGAAACAUUUUUUUUUCGGCAAGAAUCCACUGCCACCAUAAAUUUGACCCAUUCUCUGAUUCUCAUUACCGCAUGAGCUCGACGGAGUUCCGACGAAAUGAAAACAACAGUUCCCACUCUAAUCCGUUCCAAGAACCCACCAGAAAUUCCAAAAAUUCGAUCAAUCUUCUCUUCUCCAUCACCGCUUGAGCUCACCUCAGUGGCAAAACAAAAAACGCAAACCCAACUCCGAUUCCGGCGAGACCUCUUUAAGCUUAAUUCAAAAUUUGUGAUUUGGGGUUCGUAUUGAGAUUUUUCAGCUGGUUUAAGUCUGUUCGGGGUUAUGGUCCUCGAUACCAAAUUGGUUUGUUCGUCGUUGAGGUUUUUGUUCGAGGAUUUCGAGCUUAGGCUUCACUAACUCACUAUUAUCAAAAAUCAGUUCUGCUAAGGUCCGAUUCUUAAUUCUAUUUUAUUUUUAUGUUAUCUUAACAUGGUUGAUGAUGUGAUUUGGUGGUAUGUAUUGAGUGCACUUGAGCAAUGUUGAUUAUCGUGGCUUUGAAUGUUUGAUUUUAUCUUAAAAUUAAUUAAUUAGAUGAUUGAGAAAUAAAUUUAGGACCAAAAUUAAAAAUUGAUAAAAGUGAAUAUUGGUUUAUUUAAUUCAUUAACGGUUUUUUAAUUCAAAAUAAGCAUCGAUUUUGAUAAAUUCAAUAGUAUCAUGUUUAGAUCGAGAAUUGAUAGAAAAAUUUUAGGUUUGUGGGUAGGAAAAUCGUACGAUUCUACAUUAUCGAAUGUUGGAAUGCUUGUUUUAAAUGAUUUUACUAUUUUUAUCACAUUUUAUCAAAUAUAUUUAUUCAUCGGGGAAUGUCCCGAGAUUAUAUGUAUAUAUUUAUUAGGGAAUGUCUCGUGAAAUUCUAUAUUUGGAAGACAGUUCGUGGAAAUAAUCCAGAAUGUCGGGUGGACUUUGGAGCAUAACUUAGGAUUAGUGUAGGAUAAAAUAAGUUUUCAUUUUAGUACUUUUUCAUUUUUGGGCCUAUAUAAUUGAACUAAACAUUAUUUUUUUUUGGAAUUUUUCAUUUGUUUGUUUUCUUACGUGCUCUUCUGUGAAGUUUAUAAAUCCCAUAGUGUCAUAUUAGUCGAUAUAACUUGACAAAACAACCGUAAUCGAACCACAGAACUGAGGGGUGUCUAACAUCUUCCCAUUGGUAAAUAGAAUUCCUUAGCUGUAAUUUCUGUCUGUGGAUCAGUUUUAAGAGUCAACUCUUUUUUUUUUAAAGGAAAAAAGAAUUUAAAAGAUGACUUGAUACACAAAACAAUGUCAAGUGAUGACUCUGAGUUUAAUUGCAUUUUUUUUUGAAACAAAUUUUCUUUUGUUACUUUAAUAAUUAAAAACCUUUUCGAAUUUUAAAGGCAAAAUAAUUUUUUGAUAAAAAAGGGUGUCCCAGCUCUGGCACUCUAUUGGAAAUUUUUUGAGAAUUUGAGCUUCAUUGUUGCGUUGUGUCGACUUAGUUUGACAUUAUGAGAGUAUAGACAUGUUGUUUGUUUAUCGUUUUAUCAUUGUUGAGUGUCUACGUGCUAUGUGUUUAUUAUUUUUUUUUUAUGUGUUACCAUUUUAUAUCUGGCAUCAAAUGCAUUACCUUGAGUCAUUUCUUUCGCAACAAGUCCCGUAGUACAUGUUGUGUGCACAACCUUCGUUGAGUUACCUUUAUUUUAAAAGGGGGAGCUGUUGGUUGGUAUGGAGUGGGCGAAAAACAAUUGCAGGCUCCAUCGACUAUACGCUCCCCUGAAUAGCCUUGUUAAUUGAACCUCAACCUAGGUCGGUCUUUAAGUCAUUCUUAUUUGCAUCAUGAUUGAGACCUAGUGGGAUCCGUUUGGUCCUUUGUGGAAACUUGUUCCUAAACAUUCCUAUGUGCUACUUGUUGCAUCUUUGAGGCAAAAAAGUCAGUUGGCGGACUAAAUUAGGGAAUCAUGUUCUAAAAUUGAGGGAAUGAGUGUGUUUAGGCAAAGAAAGGUCAAAAGAAAAAAGAAGUCAAAUUUAGAGUCGAAAAAGAGAAGAAAAAAAAAGAGUUUCGUAGUUUAUAAGAGUUUUUUAUGGCUUUUAUAUUUCACAAUAAAAAAUUUAAAAAGAUUUUUCACCUUUUGCACGCAUUUUCUCAAAAAUCAAAACAUCAAGAAAAUUUUUUCUUUAUUUUCUUCAGCAUGCAUUUAUAACUCAAAAUUUAAAAAAAAAUUUGUUUAAUAGUUAUAUAUUUUUAUAGAAAAAAAAUUCAAAAAAAUGUUAGAAGUUUUAUACAUUCCAUAUAAUAAAAUGUCAAAAAGAUUUUUCUUUUAGUGUCUUCAUGUUUUUCUACGUCACAAGUUUCAAAAAUUAUUUUAUUUCUGUUGGUGUUUUAUUUCUAAACAAUUUCAUGCGAAAUAUUAAAAAAGAUUUUCCUUUCUUGUUUUGUUUUGUUUUGUUUUGUUGUUAUAUGAAGUUUCAAAUCAACAACUCAAAAAAAAAAAUUCAUUUGUAUGUUUUCUCAUUUGUUUUGGUCAUGCCUCAAGUCGGGUUUUGUUUGUGGCUUAAUCUUUAACUCUUUAAUUUGAAUGAACUACGUAUACCUGAUUUUCGUCCUUCGGGACGGGAUACGUAACCAACCCUUGGUGGGUUUAGUAAUCUUUUUUAAUUUGAUCAUUGUCUUAGUUUUAGUCUAGGGUCAUUUUCUUGCUUAGUCAAGUAUUGUUAGUUGGUCAUUGCCAAAUAGACUAAUUUCACUUAGCAGUACCAUUUGGUGAAUUAAAGUUAUAAAUCGGCAUGUUCCUUCGUGUCACGUGACACUUCUCUAUGUUAAAAUUUUGAAGGUCGGAAAUUCUUUCCCUUUUAUUGAAUUUUGAGUCAUGGUCCUACAUGUGUUAUUAUGGAAUGGAUUCAUUCACAAGAUCUAGAGUCUUGAUGGUUUCUAAGGUGCCCAAAAAGUAAAUCAAGUGGUGGGACAUGUUCAACUACUCUAAACGACACAAGUUAAAGAAGAAGUCAGGCACUCUUACAUCCUUCUUGUAUAUCGUGCCCUACUAGAUUUGAUCGAGAUUAUAUUGACUUUUUGGGACGAAUAGGUUGGUAUUUAGGUUCGGGAGUUGUAAAAUGAUGCCCACUCUGACAAAAAUAUCUGGUUUGUUUUAAUUGUCCUACAUCAAUAAAAAGAUGAUUCGAGUCUGGGUUCAUUCUCCCACGAGGUUUCUCCAUGACUAUAGAUUGAAGAUAAUAACCACCUGGGAUGCCUUAACUAAUUUUGGUUCUCCUUCGAUUACCCGUAUGCUCGAUUUGGGUCCCCAGAUGGUUUCGUUUGUUUUUAGGAUGAAUUUUAUAAAACUAAGAAGAAUUGGGAGGAAACGUCGUCUUGAAAUAUUCACCCUUGCUUUGUUAGGCACCUUAGUGUUUUCGUUAGAUGAAAGAUAUGUAAAUACUCAUUUGCAAUUUGUAGUUAUGGCCUUAUUUAAUAGAAACAAAGGGCAAAAAGUCACUACUGUACUUAUAAUUUUAGUUAAAAUAUAUAAGGCUUUGACUGAAGUAAAAGGAGGAUUUGUUUUUUUUAGGGAAGUAGCCUGGUAUUGCAAUUAUGGAUGAUGAAACAUUUGCACGCUCCUUUUUUGAUUAAAUUGGGUGUGGUCAAUCGUUGUUUUCCCGAUCGAGUGGAGGCCAUUGAACAAAGAAUGCGCUUUGAUAAAUUUUUAUUACCCGUGGGAGUCAAUGCUUGGAUUGAAUUUCUCGAAUCAAGAACUCAUGACAACAUUCUUUGAACCUAUUUGUGGCUCCAUUCGAAAAUAAUCUUAGUCAAAUGUCUCAUGCAACUUCUUCUAGUUUUGAUAGGGCUCAACUGCACUAGACCAUACACUCCGAGUAGGGUAAUGCACCAGUUGGAUUGGUUGCAAGACGUUCCACCAAUAAUGAAUUUUCAAAAGGAUGUUGAGUACUUUAGGGAUCAAGCCAUGGGUGAGAUCAAAUCUGAGCAGUUCUAGCGUAAUGCAACAAAACUUGGGUAUAGAUACUCUCAUAGAAGGUUUGGAUAAUCCUGCGUACACUCAGAGAUAUGUGAUCUGGCUACAAUCCAUACCUCAGGGUAUCGGUAGGCCAUUACCGGCGCAACUUAGAGGGCAGAUACUUGAAGCGUACAUAGUCAAUGACAAUGAAGAGAUAGGUGCAGGGGAUAAAGUUGAGUUGCUAAAAGUUUGGUUAUCAGGUUUGAUCACAACUGUAGAGCCACUAGAGAAAUUUGCUUGGGUGUACUCUCCAAGAGUUGGGGGCACGCGCUAGAGGCUUCCUCCCAAGUAUCAAAGUAUCAUUACGGGAUAUGUUACAAAGUUGGAAUUCAAGUGGCAGCGAGAACUUUACAGCCAGGGCCUUCACAGACAGAUCCAUCAUAGUCGGGGUCAUCACAUGGCGCAGCAGUUUGAAGGGGUAUUUCUAUCUUUUGCUUGGUUGGAGUCCUUUAUUUUUCUGUCAUUAUGUUUGACAUAGUGGUGUUAUGUCUUGGUGGGUCGGUAUCAAGUUUGAUUUAGUAUUAAUGUUACGUACAUUGUUUUGUCAGUCUAGAGUGUUUUUUAGUUUUUAUGUAUUGUUAUCAAAGUUGUCUUAGUUUUGGAGUCUAUUUUAGUUAUAUCUUCUAUGAAAAAAAAUCUCUGGUUAUGUUUCGUUGGUCUUUCUUUUUCACUUGUUCUUUGUUCUUAAGUUUUGAAGAAAAAAAACACUUUUGUUUCUGUGAUAUUUAUGCAUGCUUUCCGAACUACACAAGAUCUGAUUCUUGCACAACAUGAUACAUAGUCAACCUACUACUUGGUUUGAUCUAAUCAUUUUGUUUUUUUCGUUUUAUUUUUCUUUUCAGUUUUCCUCUUUUGAAGAAAGCAAAAGCCAGAAUGAAUGAUAAAAAAAAAGAAAAAUAGUGAGCGAAUAAAUCAAACAAAGAGUUAGAGAAGGAAAAGAGAUUGAUGAAAAGAAAAAGAAAAAAGAGCACGAAAACAGAGAAAAAUGAAAUGCAAGUGCGAUGUAAGAAGCAGUAAGUGUAAAAGCAAGUUGGGAUGAUGUCAAAAUAUCCGUAUUACCUUCAAGGCCAUGUAGAAAUGUAAAUGAAACUAGGUGCAUAACAUACAAUGUGAUUAGCAUGUCUGUUGUAUGACCUAAACUUAACGAGUUUUGUCUUUGAUGAGAAUGUUCUUUUAGAUAAAAAUGGUUGAUUUGUGGCACUUUGGCCAGUCAUCUUUAUUUCACCAAGUCCAAAGCAAAGAUUGUUAUGGCUAACAAAGAUGAAGAAACUUCACUUAUUGACCCAAACCAGGGUCCCGGGGAAGGGGGUUCAGAACCCAAUUAGGAGAUAUCGAGACUUAGACAACAGUCAGUAGAAAUACACUGAGCAUGGGCUAGUGACAUGUCUCCUUCUCCAUUCCCUAAUGAUGAUCUUGAAAAAUACUUUCAAUUACUCGUUGCUUUCGCAGGUACACUUUUCUAUUUCUAUUGAUACACCACAACAUGCACCACCCCGCAUCAAUACUAUCCAAGUACUUUUAAUGUGCCAUUUGAUGCUCCUCAAUAAACACUUACCAUCUAUCCAACACCACCUAUUGAACCUGUGUUCAUGGCUCCACCACCUCCUGAAUUUCCUACUUUUGCUGCUCGUCCAAAAGUCACGCUCUCUCGAUUUGCUACUGAAUCGAUGUUUAGGAUUCCUGAUGAUCAAUAUUAUGCUCCAGAGCCUACCUUUAAGUUGAAUGAUCUGUAUUAUUACAAUUUGCCACCUGUAUUCCCUGCGAUACAGAAAAGUCUACCAUGACAGAAGAACAGGAUGGUUUGAUACGAAAAUUGAAGAGUUUAGAAUCGGCCAUGAGAAACUUACAGGGACUCAGGGGUUAUAAAGUGUUUCAUAUAAAGAUCUGUGCAUGUUAUCAAGUGUUAAUCUCCCUUUUAAUUUUAAGAUGCCGAAGUUUGAGAAAUACGAUGGACACGAUGAUCCAGUGGCACACAUGAGGCAUUAUGUGUGAGAGUAUUUCAAGUCUAACUUCUGAAUGGUUUGUUGUUCAGGACAUCGAUAAGUGGAAUAGUUGAGAUGACCUAGCUAAUGAAUUCGUACAACAAUUCCAACACAACGUGGAGUUGAUUUCUGAAGAGAAAUCCCUAACUAAUAUGAAGAAUAAGAGUACUGAAAGUUUCAGAAAGUAUGCAAUAAGGUGGCGUGAACAGGCUGCUAGAGUGAAACCGUCGAUAAAAGAGAGUAAAUUGGUAGAGAUCUUCCUUUAGCCACAAGAUGAAACCUAUUUUCAACACUUGUUUCUGGCAAUAGGUAAAUCGUUUAUUGAAGUCAUUAAAUGGGAGAAAUGAUAGAAAAUGGUAUUAAGAUUGGGUGGAUUGUGAGCUUUGCUGCAUUAAAGGCUACUACCCAAGCAAUUCAAAGUGGUUUCAGAACUUUUGGAGGAAAGGAGAAGAAAAAAGAUGUAGCUGUUGUUGUAGCUGGACCACGAGCAUAUCCAAAAGGACCACCUCGCUAUUACCCCCAAUAUCAAGCCCAAGUCUAUAUCUAAGCUCAAUAUAAUCACCCCCAACAUCAUUAUCCUCCACAAAAUCCAUUAUACUCUAUUCCCCACCUCCUUCUUACCAACAAUGGCGUCACUGGGUUUUGCGAAGGAUAAUAAUAUUGGGGGUGAUUAUAUGGAGCUUGGGUAUAGACUUGUGCUUGAUACUGAGGGUAAUGGUGAGGUGGUGUUUUUGGAUAUGCACGUGGUCAACUAUAACAACAGCUACAUCUUCUUUCUUCUUCUUUCCUCCAAAAGUUCCUGAACUACUUUGAAUUGCUUGGGUAGUAGCCUUUAAUGCAGCAAAGUUCACAAUCUGCCCAAUCUUAAUACCAUCUUCUAUCAUUUCUCCCAUUUUGAUGACUUCAUUAAACGAUUUACCCAUUGUUAGAAGCAAGUGUUGAAAAUAGGUUUUGUCUUGUGCUUGAAAGAAGACCUCUACCAAUUUACUCUCUUUCAUCAACGGUUUUACCCUAGUAGCUUAUUCAUGCCACCUUAUCGUAUACUCCCUGAAACUUUCAGUACUCUUCUUCUUCAUAUUAGUUAGGGAUUCUCAUCAGAAAUCAACUCCACAUUGUAUUGGAAUUAUUGCACGAAUUCAUUAGCUUGGUCAUCCUAAUUGUUCCACUUAUCGAUGUCCUGAUCAAUAAAUCAUUCAGAAGCUAGACUUGAAAGACUCUCACCAAAAUAAGUCGUGAGUAAUUCUUCUUUCCCUUCAGCGCCUUUUAGCUGGUUACAAUAACGCCUCAUGUGUGCCAUCGGAUCACCGUGCCCAUUAUAUUUCUCAAACAUCGGCAUCUUAAAACCAUGAGGGAUAUUAACACUUGGAAGCAUGCACAAAUAUUUAUAUGAAGCACUUUUGUAACCCCUGAGUCCUUACAAGUUUCUUAUGGCCUGUUCUUAAUUUUCAGCCUUUCUGUUCUUCUGUCAUGGCAGGUUUUUCUGUAUCGAAGGGAAAUGCAAAUGGAUGAUUGUAACAAUAUGGAUCAUUCAACUUUAAGGUAGCUUCCUGAGCAUAAUUCUAAUAAUCAGGAAUCUUAAACAUCAGUUCACUAUUAGAUCGAGGGAGCAUGACUGUUGGACGAGCAACAAAAGUAGGAGAUUCAAAAGGCAGUGGAACCACAAACACAGGUGCAACAGGUGGUGUUAGAUGGAUGAUAGGACUUUGUUGAGGAGCUUCAAAUGGCAUAGUAGAAGUACUGGGAUAGUAUUGAUGCGGGGUGAAUCCUGGUGCAUGCUGUGGUGUAUCAACAGAAAACUGUAUCUGAGAAAGUGGCAGGUAAUUGAAAGUAUUUUUGAGAUCAUCGGUAGGGAAUUGAGGGGGAGGCAUGCCAUUGGGAAUUGAAUCCUGGUGCAUGCUAUUGUUUGAGUCUCGAUAUCUCCUCAUUGGGUUCUAAACCCCCUUCCCGAGACUCUGAUUUGGGUCAAUACAUGAAGUUUCUGCCUCUUUGUUAGCCAUAACAACCUUUUCUUUGGACCUGGUGAAAUAAGGAUUACUAGCCAGAGUGCCACAAACCCACCACUUUUACUCGAAAGAACAUUCUCAUCAAAGACAAAUUCUAUUAGGAUUAGGUCAUACAAUAGACAUGGUAAUCAUAUUGUAUGUUAUGCACCUAGUUUCAUUUACAUUUCUACGUGGCCUUGAGGGUAACACGGUCACUUUGACAUCAUCUCGACUUAUUUUUUCAUUUACUGUUUCUUACAUCCCACUUGCAUUUCACGCUCUUUUCUCUUUUUCUUUUCAUCGAUCUCUUUUCUUCCCUCACUCUUCGUUACAUUCUUUCUCUCACUAUUUUUCUUAUUUCUUAUCAUUCUUUCUAGCUUUUGCAUUCUUCAAAAGAGGAAAAUUAAGAAGAAAGUAACAAAAUGAUUAGAUCGAACCCACUAGUGGGUUGCCUACAUAUCAUAUUGCAUAUGAAUCAGACCUUGCGUAGUUCGGGAAUCAUGCAUAAAUACCACAAAAUAGAAGUGGUUUUUUUCUUCAAAACUUAAGAACAAAGAACAAGAGAAAAAGAAAGACCAAUGAAAAAUAACUAAAGAUUUUUUUCAUAGAAUAUAUAACCAAAAUAGACUUCGAGACCAAGACAACUUUGAUAACAAUAACAUAAAAACGAAACAACACUCUAGACUGGCAAACAAUGUACAUAACAUCAAUAAUAAGAACUCCAAUACUAAAACAAACUUGAUACCGAACCACCAAGGCAUAAUACCACUAUGUUAAACACAAUGACAGAAAAACAAAGGACUCCAACCAACCAAAAGGUAGAGAUUCCCCUGCAAACACUGCGCCACAUAAUGACCCCGACUGUGAUGGGUCUGUCUGUGAAAACCCUGGCUGUGAAGUUCUCACUCUCCCACUUGAACUCAAACUUUGUAACAUAUCCUGUAAUGACACUUUGAUAUUUGGGAGGAAGCCUCUGGUGUGUGUCUCUGCUUUUUAGAGAGUACACCCAAGCAGAUUUUUUGGUACCCUUUCGUAGUUGUGAUCAAACCUUAUAAUUGAACUCUCGGUAGCUCAACUUUAGCCGCCGCACCUAUGUCUUCAUUGUCAUUGACUAUGUCUACUUCAAGUAUCUGCCCUCUAAGAGCAAUUGCUCCAGUUAUGGCCUAUUGGUACAGUGAGGUAUGGAUUGUAGCCAAAUUCCAUAUCUUUGAGUGUACCCCGGAUUAUCCGAACCUUGUAUGAGAGUAUAUACACCUAGCUUUUGUUGUGUUAUGCCAAAACUACUCAUAUUUUUAUCUCACCCAUGGCUUGAUCCCUAAAGUACUCAACAUCCUUUUGGAAAAUCUAUUACUGGUGGAACGUCUUACAAUUUACCCAACUAGAGUUACCCUGCUCGAAGUGUAUGGUCUAGUGCAAUUGAUCCCUAUCAAAACUAGAAGAAGUUUCAUGCGACAUUUGACCAAGAUUAUUUUUGAAUGGAUCCACAGAUAGGUCCAAAGAAUGUUGUCAUGAGUUCUUAAUUUGAGAAAUUCAAUCCAAGCAUUGACUCCCACAGGCAAUGAGAAUUUAUCAAAGCGCAUUCUUUGUUCAAUGGCUUUCACUCGAUCAGGAAAACAACGGUCGACCACAUCCUCUUUAAUCAAAUAAGGAUCAUGCAAAUGCUCCAUCAUCCAUAGUUGCAAUAUCAGGUUACUUCCCUUAAAAAAUCGUAUCUCUCUUUUACUUUAGUCAAAGCCUUAUAUGUUUCCACUAAAAUCAUAGGCAUGGUAGUGAUUUUUUUCCCUCCCCUUCCAUUAAAUAAGGCCAUAACUAUAGAUUGCAAAUGGGUAUUAACACGACAUUCAUCUAACAGAAAAACUAAGGUAUCUAACAAAGCAAGGGUGAAGACUUCAAGACGACGUUUCUCCAAAUCUUCUUAGUUUUAUAAAAUUCAUCCCAAAAGCAAUCGAAAUCAUACGGUCCCCCAAACCGAGCAUAAAGCUAAUUGAAUGAGACCCAAGAUUGGCUAAGGCAUCCCAGGUGGUUAUUAAUCUUCAAUCCAUGGUCACAGAUAAACCUCAUGGGAGAAUGAAUCCAGGUUUGAAUCAUCAAUUUAUCGAUGUAAGACAAUUGAAAUAAACCAGAUAUUUCUGUUAGACUGGGUGUCAUUUCACAACUCCCAAAUCUAAACACUAAACUUUUUCAAUCCCAAAAAGUUAAUAUAGCCUCGAUCAGAUCUGAGCGGAGCGUAGAAACCAUCAGAACUCUAAACCACUUGAUUAGAUCCAGUCGUAGUUGAACAUGCACCACCACUUGAUUAACUUUUUGGACACCUUAGAAACAAUCAGGACUCUAAGCCUUAUGGACGGAUUCAUCCUGUAAUAAGACACAUAUGACUACGACUCAAAAUUUGAUAAAAGGGCAAGUAUUUUCGACCCUCGAGAUUUUAACAUAGAAAAGUAUCAUAUGACACGAAGAGAUAGACCGAUUUAUAACUUAAAUUCACCCGAAUGGUACUGCUUAGUGAAACCAGCCUAUUUGGCUAUGACCUACUAACAACACUUGACUAAGUAAAAGAUGACUUAGGCUAGGACUAAGACAAUGAUCAAAUUAAAAAAGAUUAUCGAACCCACUGAGGGUUGCCUAUGUAUCCCGCCUCGAAGGAUGAGAAUCAAAUAUGCGUAGCUCAUCUAGAUUGGAUAGUUAAAGAUUAAGCCACAGAUUGAACCCUGACUUGAGGCAUGGCCAAAAUAAACGAGAAAACGCACAAAUAGAAUUUUUUUUGAGUUUUGAUUUGAAACUUCACGUAACAACAAAACAUGGAAUAAAAAUCUUUUUUGAUAUUUUCAUAUGAAAUUGUUCAAAAAUAAAGAAGCAACAGAAAUAAAACAAUUUCUGAAAUUUGCAACGUAGAAAAACAUGAAGACACUAAAAGAUUUUUUUUUUGACAUUUUCAUUAUAUGAAAUUUACAAAGCUUCUAACAUUUUUUGGAUGUUCUUUUAUAAAAAUAUAUAAAGCUCCUAUUAAACAAAUUUUUUUUUUGUAAAUUUUGAGCUAUAAGUGCAAGCUGAAGAAAAUAAAGAAAAUUUAUUUUGAUGUUUUGAUUUUUGAGAAAAUGCGUGCAAAAGGUGAAAAAUCUUUUAAAAAAUUUUAUUGUAAAAAAUAAAAGCCAUAAAGAACUCCUACAAUCUAAAAAAAUCUUUUUUUCUUCUCUUUUUUGCCUUGAACUUUGACUUUUUUUCUUUAUGACCUUUCCUUGCCUAAACACACUCUCUCUCAAUUUUAGCACAUGCUUUCGUAAAUCAGUUCAUCAACUGACCUUUUUACCUUCUAAGUUGCAACAAGUAUCACAUAGGGACAAGUUUCCCACAAAGGCCCCAUCGGGUCCCACUAGGUUUCAAUCAUUAUGCAAAUAAGAAUGACCUAAAUACCGACCUAAGUUGGGGUUUAACUAACAAGACUGUUCAGGGGAGUGUAUGAUCGAUUGUGGUUGCGAUUACUUUUCACCUAUUCCAUACCUGCCGACGGCUCUCCCUCCUAAAAUAUAGGUGACUCAACGAAGGUUUGUGUACUACGAGACUUAUUGCAAAAUAAAUGACUCAAGGUAAUGAAUAUGAUGCCAGAUAUAAAGUGAUAACACAUUAGGAAAAACUGUAAACGUGGAGCACGUAGGCACUCAAUAAAUAAUAAAACGAUAACAGAAACAACAUAUCUGUACAUUCAUAGUAUCAAACAAAGUUGAUACAACGCAAUAAUGAAACUCAAAUUUUAAAAGAUCCCCAGCGGGGUCGCUAGAGCGGUGACACCUCUUUUCUUACCAAUUUUUUUUUUUUAAGUUUGAAAAGGGUUUUAAUUAUUUAAGUAACAAAAUAAACUGUAUUUUGAAAAAGGAUUUUUCAAUUAAACCCAGAGGUCGCCACUUGACAUUGUUUGGUAUGUAAGUCAUCUUUUAAAUUUCUUUUUUCAAAAACAGUUGACUCUUAAAACUGAUCCACGAACAAAAAUUUUAGUUAGAAAAUUUAGUUAACCGAGGGGAAGAUGUUAGGCACACCUCAAUAUCGUGGUUCAAUCACGAUUGCUUCGUCAAGUUAUAUCGGCUAAUAUGCCACUAUGGAAUGAAUAAGCUUUACAAAAGAGCAUACAAACAAAUAAAAAAUUUCUAAAAAAAAAGAUAAUUUCCCGUCCAACUAUACAAUUUCAAAAAUGAAAAAGUGCUUAAAUGAAAACCUAUUCUAUCCUAAACUAUGCUGAGCAGUCCACCUGACAUUCUGGGUCCUGUCCAUGAACUGUCUUUCAAAUACAGAAUUUUGCAGAGCAUUCUCCGAUAAAUAUAUACAUGUAAACUCAGGCAUUCCCCGAAAAAUAAAUACAUUUGAUAAAAAUAGAAAAAUCAUUCAAAACAAGCAUUCAAACAUUUGAUAAUGUAGAAUCCUACUGUUUGCCUACCCAAAAAUCUAUAAUUUGCCUAUCAAUUCUCGACCUAAACAUGAUACUAUCGAAUUUAAGAAAAUCGACGCCUAUUAAUUAAACAGCCAUUAGUGAAUCAAAACAAACUAAUAUUCACUUUUAUCAAUUUUUAAUUUCCAUCCUAAUUUUAUUUUCCAAUCACACGAUUAAUUAAUUUUAAGAUAAAUCAAAUAUUUAAGGCCACAACAACCCAAAUUGCUCAAGUGCAUUUAAUAUAUACCAACAAAUCUCAUCAUACACUUUAAGAUAGCAUAAAAAGAAUAGAGUUAUGAAUUGGACCUCAGAAGAACUGAUUUUUGAUAACAGUGAGUUAGCAAAGCCUAAAAUCGAAAUCCUCGGACCAAAAAACUCAACAACGAACAAACCAACUUGGAAUCAAGAACUGUAACCCAGAUCAAGCUUAAACCAGAAGGUUCGUUGGAUUUUUGGAAUUUUACGGUGGGUUUUUGGAUCGAUUUAGAGUAGGAACUGUUGUUUUCAUUUUGCCCAAGCUCACGUGGUGGUGAGAAUCGGAGAACGGGUUAAAUUUUUUGUGGCAGUGGAUUCUUGCCUGAAAAAAACUAUUUCUCUGCUGCUAGGGUACGUAGUAAGGUGAGGAUGUAUAGGAUAAAUUUGAAAAAAUGGGAGGGUCAAAUUUAUGUGUCUACAUUGUCGACGACCAGGAUAGUGAAUUCAAGUAUUUGCUCUUCGGUACCUUGAAUUUUAUUUUUAUAAGCUAUUGGAGAAGUUAUUUAGGAUUAUCUUGGCCUUUAUAGGAGGCAAGAGUAUCUUGUUAAUUACUUUUAUAAAGUGAAAUGGACAUAUAGGAAUUUUCUUUUAAUCAAAGAAGAGGCAUUCUUGGUAAUUCAGAAAAUGUGAGAUUUGAAUUCACUGUUCUUGGUAAAGAUUUUUUUUAUCACAUAGUAUUUCUUCAUCUAGCUGAUACUUCAAGAGCUCCAAUCAUCUCGAUUUAGUUAAAAGUAUGUGGAAAUUACUCCAUAUGAAGCCAAGUGAUACGAAUCCAACCACAAGGAAAUAACAAAUUAGGAUUAGUAAAGGUAGGAUUUCAAGUAGGAUCUAAGUCACAACUGGUAUCGUUGCAAUGUGAUUGUGUAGUGAUGGAUCAUGAACUCAGUUUUUUUUAUGAAGGUUCCCAUAUGUGGAGUUUAUUAGAUCGAGUACAAAAAGGUGGAUAUAUCCUUAAACCUCAAGAAUUACAAAGCUCGAGUAUAGAACAAGCAUACAAUUUGACUACGCACAAAAUAAAUUAGGAGGAUCUCUCCCUUAACAACUAAGCUCACAAAAAGAGAGGCUACUAAGCACCCUUAGUAGUAAACUAAGUACUCAACCUGGAUCAAAUAUGAAAGAUCCUUUCUUGACUCGAAUUCUAAAUUUUGGAGAUCCUUUAAUGUCAUUCUUCAAAGUAGAUAUAAUCUGAGUGGGCAAGCUUGUCGCCUCAUUGAAGAAAGUGUUUGUUUUAGUACUCUCUUUGCCAAAUUUUUAAGAAGAUUAGCUGUGGUGUUGCCUUCACGAAGUGUGUGGAUGAAUUGAAAUUAACCUUGAAAUUUCAUAGCCGAGAUCUGCCUGAGUUCAUUCUUUAGUUGCCAAGAGCUUUUGAGUUUUUCAGUGGUCAUCUGGAUGAUAGAUAGUGAAUUAGAUUCAACAGUGAUUUUAUGAUAUCCAUUGUCUGAACACUAUUUCAUUCCAAUAAUAAUAGCCUUAAUUUCUGCUAAGUUAUUGGAGCAUGAACUAACGUAGGAAGUGAAUUCCAUGAUCAACUGUCUAAGGUGAUUCCUUAGUAGGCCACCUCCUCCUGCACUGCCCAGGUUUCCUUGCUGUAUCCGUCCAUAUUCAGCUUAAUUUCUCUAAGCACAGGUUUGAUCCAUAUGACUAGUUUGAUAUCUAGCUUAGGCCUGAUGCUGUCAAUUUAAAAAGUAAUGUUAGGCGUAGGAGAGUUAAAAUAAAGAAAUAAGAAUUGGAUAUUAAGGACCAUUUGGACCAUGUUGGUAACUUGGUCAAUUAUCCUAUUAGAAGUAGUAUUAAUUCCUUCAUGUUUUAGAGUGCAUCUAAAUUUUCAUAGUUCCAAGUGAGAACAUGGGAAGACAUUGAAGAAGGGUCUCAUGCACUUUGUUGUGAGGUUUAAUCAACUACCAUCUAACAAUUUUGUAUCUAAUGUUACCAUUGUGAGGAUGAGGGAUGCCACAUGCAUCAGUGAAACAUUUCCAAAUGAUGGUAGCAAUCUCACUUUUUCCAAAUAAAUGAUUGACAUCCUCAUUAUAACUAGUUUUGCAACAAUAACAUUUGGAAGGCCCAUGAACUUUAAAUUUUGUAACAACGUCAUCAGUGAAAAAUCUAUUAUUAAGGAUUUUUGUGCAUGAAAAAAGAAAUUUUGAAGGGGAGAUUGUUAUGCCAUGUCUUACUGCUAGUUAGGGAGGUGUCUUUGCUCAUUCUAAAAAAAUUCCAAGAAGAUUUGCUAGAAAAAUACUAGUAGGAUCAGAUAACUAGAUAGGAAGAUCAUUUUCAUCUCAAAUGAACGGGAUCCUUUGAAUGAACAUAACCAAGUCAUACGAAAGGAGUUGCUGGAGCUUAAUAAGGUCCCACUGAUUAUUCUGAAAGAAAUCAGAGACUUUAACAUUCUUAGAGGUGUUGUCAUGGUUUACAAUCCCACCACAAGGAGAUGUCACCUUUUUCAACUUUCCCAAUGAUAUAAUUUUCUCCAAAUAUGGGAUUGAGCAUAACUAGAGGUUCUGUUAACAACAUGAGUCCUUUUACAGUAUUUAGAGUUUAAGAAUAAGUUUAAAAGAGAAUUAUGGAUUCUGAACCUCUACCAACAUUUAGCACUGUAAGAGAUACAUAUAUCAUGAAGAGAUCUAUAACAAAUACCACUCUCUACUUUAGGAAAGCACAAUUUAGCCUAUUUGAUUCAAUGAUAAUGAUCUUUCCCAUCGGAGUAACCCUAGAAGAAAUUGGCAAAAUACUUUUCCAUUUGUUCCAAAAUAGUUUUAGGGGGGGGGGGGGACUAUAGAGAUAAUAUGUAAAGGAAUAAAGUGAAGAACUGACCAAAUGAGUACAACUUUACCACCAAAGGAGAGGAGUUUACCUUGCCAUCCUUUAAUUCUGUUGGCCAUUUUAGCAACCAUGCUACUAAAAUAUAUGACUUUCUGAAUGUAUGGGAGCACCCAGAUAAGUAAAAGGAAAUUGAGAAUGAGAAAAAUCAGUAAUUAUCUUAAUAUCAUUAAUAACUCCUAUUGGGGUUCUAGGUGAUACUAAAAAAGUAGAUUUUUUUUAUUGACAAGUUGACCAAAAACCUGUUUAUAAAGAUCUACGUUUUUCAUCAUGAUAGUAAUAGAAUGGAUAUCCCCAGUUGAAAAUAAUAUAGUAUCAUCAGCAUAAGUGAGGUGAGUAAUAAGAGGACUGCCAGGAUUAAAAGAAUAAGGAAUGAAAUUAUCAACAUGCAAUUGAUUCAUAAUUCUUGAGAGAAGUUCAGCACUAAUUAAAAAAAAAGGAAGGGGAAAGAGGAUCACCUUGCUUGAGUCCUCUAGAAGAGUUAAAGAAACCAUGUCUAGAACUAUUGAUGAUAGUAGAAUACCAAUUGUUAGAGAUAAAUCUAAGGAUCAUAUCAAUCCAUUGUUCACAAAAACCCAAAUGUCUCAAACUAUGGCAAAGAUAGUCCCAUGGGCUUUGGCCAUAUCAAGCUUGAAAAAAACAUUACCGUUAAUGUUAGGCUUCCUUAUAUUGUGGACCUCUUGAGUAAGCAUGAUAUUAUCAGCAAUAGAUCUAUCUUUAAUAAAACCAGUUUGAUUAGGAGAGAGAAUUUUAUUCAUUAGAGGGGCUAGCCUAUUGUUAAGCAAUUUAGAAAUAACUUUGGAUAUAAAGUUACUAAGACUUAUGGGCCUGAGAUCAAUAAAUUGUUGGGGGCUGUCUAUUUUAGGAAUCAAAAUAAGGCAGGUAUGAGUGAAAAAUCUAGGGAGAGACUUACCUAGAAAAAAGUCAAGAAUAACAUCAUAUAAAUCAUUAGCUAUAAUGUGCCAACAAUGCUGAAAAAACUUACCUGAGGCCAUCAGGACCUGAGGCACUAUUAAGAUUCAUGGAGAAUACCACUUGCUUGAGCUCAUCCAUAGAUGGAGUAGUACAAAGAAUUGCAUUAUCGGUCUCAUGGAUAACCCUUGGCAAGUGUCUGAGGAUAGACAAAUGAAUAUUGGUUUGUUCAUGGGUGAAAUGUUUUUCAUAGAAGUUGAUGGCUUCUUCAGCAAUGUUAUCAAUGUCUUCAAUCCAUGAGUCAUUUUCUUUUUAAUCCUUUAAAGAAAAAGCCUUUUUCUUCUAGAUCUGAUAAUGGAGUGAAAAAAUUUGGUAUUAUUGUCUCCAUCAGUUAACCAUUUAAGACCUUCCUUUUGUUUCCAAAAAGCUUCUUCAUUUUUAAUAUGUCUAAUUAGCUGAGCAUUGAUGUUGUUAUACUGCAUUCUGUUAGCUUCAGAGUUAUCAUUGAUGCACGAUUGUUCUAUUUCCUCCAGUUUUCCUUGAAGGUCUAUGGUCUUAUAAAAAAUGUUCCCUAAAGUGUUUUUAGACCAAUGAGAUAGAUUCCUGCAAACAUUUUUGAGUUUCAAAUGAAAUUUCCACAUCGAACCACCUUCAACUUGAGUAUACCAGGAUUGUUCAACUACUUGCAUAAAUCCAUCUUCUUCAGUCCACAGAUGAAGAUAUUUAAAAUAUUUCUUCGGUGCAAGUUGUGGAUUGGAGAUGGAGGUCAAAAGAGGGGCAUGGUCAGAACCUUUUCUGACCAAGUAAGUUACAUUAGUGUCACCAUAUUCUUGUAGCCAAAUGGUGUUGGUAAGGACCCUAUCAAGUCUAGCCAAAAUUCUCUUUCUGGGAGCUCUACCAUUUGCAUGAAGGAAUUAUGGACAACUAUUGUAUACACGAAGGAUGCUCGGGUUGUUUGGUAGGAUUUGAGAGGACGUUUUGAUAAAGUGAAUGCUUCUCAUAUGUAUCAGCUUCAUAGAGCAAUUACAACAGUUGUCCAAGGAACAGAGAGUGUGUCUACCUAUUUCUCAAAGAUUCAAAAACAACGAGACGCAUUUGAUAGCAUGGUACCACCACCAUGUGACUUCCCUAAGUUUAAAGACUUUAUUGAAAACAUGUAAAAGCAGAAGUUGAUGUAAUUUCUGAUGGGGUUGAAUGAGAGCUAUAAACCAGUAACUAUAAUGUGAAUCAGCAAGAGGAGAGGACAUCUGAAGGAAGGAUGCUAUAAGCUCACUGGCAACCCCCAGAUUUCAAGCAUAGAAAGAAAAGGUACAUGAAUACAACUUAUAAUGUUUCUUUAGUGAAAAUGCAGUUGUGCCAGACAAUUUCAGGAAUGUAUCAGGUGGAGGUGUGAUACAAGAUUGACAAGGAACACACAAACAACACCAAAAUCAGUUUACAAGUUGAAAGAACCAUGGACCCUUUUGAUGACCACUCUCGGAUUCAAUAUAAACACAAUGUAUUGUGGUGUUUAACACCUAAAAAUAGCCCACAACAAACUAUGUUAACAACAUUAAGAUGAAGAACAAGAACAACACAUGGGUUACAAGAGAAACAAUACACCACACGGCUACAAGAUUACAACAAAGGAAAUGAUAGAGAGUGUGACAUACACUACUACAAAGACCAAGAACCUAAGCGUAUUCAAGUACAAAGACCCUUGAUAAAGAUAGUAGAAACACCUACACUAUGUGGUGGACACAAGAGAGGACCUCAAUCUGUCUAGCACCCAACGAUCCAAGCAAACAAACAACAAAAGUGAUUCCACACCUAAGUUGUUUCUUAGUUUCAGCCAAGUCUCUAUGGUAGAGAGUGUGUUAUACAAUCUUCAAUAUCAAAAAAACUAAGUAAAGUAACCCUAAAAUGUUUCUUAUAGAGUGUAUUACAAAUAGAAGGCAAAAAGUUCAAAAUGCCCCUUAGAGAUUAGGUGCCCCUCUAGUGUGAAUUAGUGGCUGUUUUGAUAUGUUUUAAGCCCUUAAUUCCACUUCUCUUGCACACACACGUGGACGAAUUCAAUACACAUCCUCAUAAGUUCAUCUACGCGAUCGCACUUGUAUCAAGGUGUGCCAAGGAUACCGCAGUUCACUCUUGGCUAGUACGAUAAGAUAAUGCAGGAGCUUGACAAAGAUUUGCCACAGUUCAUGAAUAAUAUGACAGGUAUAGUCCAGUCUUUCCUAGCUAAUGUUGAACAAGGAAAAUGGAUAGUUGACACAGGGGAAACUAACCAUAUGGCUUCUAGCUAGUCUGAACAUAUUGUUCGUGGUUAAAGAGUUUAACUCAGGUAAUCACAAAAGAGUUCAUUUACCAAAUGAAGGUAUAACUUUUAUUGCGCACAGGGAAGUGCAAGGUCAUAGAUAAGAUAAGAGUUAGAAGAUGUUUUGUUUGUCCUACAUUUCAAAUAUAAUCUCUUAUCAGUCUCCAAAUCGACUAGGUAAUUAAACUAUUUUUUGUACUUUUACCCUGAUUUUUGCUUGUUGCAUAACCUACCAGAUUGGAAGGUAAUUAGGAUUGGUAGGGAGAAGAAUUGCUUGUACUUUCGCAUUCCUAUGACACCCCACAGAGAAUAAGAUAGAGAGGACACUUAGUGCACAAGCAGUGAAAGAUGAUAUUUUAAAGACUGCUCAUGCUUUAGGAGCAUCAAUAAAGGAGUUAAUAGGUUACAACUUAGAAGGCUGCAAGUUUAUACUAGCUGCCUGUGAUGUAUGUCAUUUUGCUAGACACGUGAGAUUGCCUUUUCCUUCUAGUAGUACUCGGACUAGUAAGACUUUCUAAAUAUUGCAUUUGGAUGUAUGUGGAACUUAUAACACACUUAUGAUGGAAAUAAAUUUUUUCGUGUUGUUAUUAGACAAUUUCUCAAUAGUAAAAUUUAAGCAUGAUGUUUUAUUGAUAUUAAAUUCCUUCAAAAGAGUUCAGACACAGUCUAAUGCAAUGAUUUGGAUGCUAGGUUUAAGGCAUCGCAGGACAUCAUACAUGGGAGCUGAUGUCGUUUGCCAACAAAGAUAUAACCCAUUAGUUGCAUGGAUAUACAAGGUGAAAUUACAGGCAAAUGGGAACAUAGAGAAGUCCAAUGCGAGAUUGGUAGCUAAGGGGUGCAACCAGAGAGAGAG
rnacentral:lncRNA from 1 species